AGUGAACGCUGGCGGUAGGCCUAACACAUGCAAGUCGAACGGCAGCACAGUAAGAGCUUGCUCUUACGGGUGGCGAGUGGCGGACGGGUGAGGAAUACAUCGGAAUCUACUUUUUCGUGGGGGAUAACGUAGGGAAACUUACGCUAAUACCGCAUACGACCUACGGGUGAAAUCAGGGGAUCUUCGCACCUUGCGCGAUUGAUUGAGCCGGUGUCGGAUUAGCUAGUUGGCGGGGUAAAGGCCCACCAAGGCGACGAUCCGUAGCUGGUCUGAGAGGAUGAUCAGCCACACUGGAACUGAGACACGGUCCAGACUCCUACGGGAGGCAGCAGUGGGGAAUAUUGGACAAUGGGCGCAAGCCUGAUCCAGCCAUACCGCGUGGGUGAAGAAGGCCUUCGGGUUGUAAAGCCCUUUUGUUGGGAAAGAAAAGCAGCAGGUUAAUACCCCGCUGUUCUGACGGUACCCAAAGAAUAAGCACCGGCUAACUUCGUG
rnacentral:rRNA from 1 species